GCGGAUGUGGCGGAAUGGCAGACGCAGCAGACUCAAAAUCUGCCGGUGGCAACAUCGUGUGGGUUCAAGUCCCACCAUCCGCA
rnacentral:tRNA from 1 species